rnacentral:rRNA from 1 species
UUUACUUCGGUAAUGACGUUAGGAAAGCGAGCGGCGGAUGGGUGAGUAACACGUGGGGAACCUGCCCCAUAGUCUGGGAUACCACUUGGAAACAGGUGCUAAUACCGGAUAAGAAAGCAGAUCGCAUGAUCAGCUUUUAAAAGGCGGCGUAAGCCGUCGCUAUGGGAUGGCCCCGCGGUGCAUUAUCUAGUUGGUAAGGUAAAGGCUUACCAAGGCGAUGAUGCAUAGCCGAGUUGAGAGACUGAUCGGCCACAUUGGGACUGAGACACGGCCCAAACUCCUACGGGAGGCAGCAGUAGGGAAUCUUCCACAAUGGACGCAAGUCUGAUGGAGCAACGCCGCGUGAGUGAAGAAGGUUUUCGGAUCGUAAAGCUCUGUUGUUGGUGAAGAAGGAUAGAGGUAGUAACUGGCCUUUAUUUGACGGUAAUCAACCAGAAAGUCACGGCUAACUACGUGCCAGCAGCCGCGGUAAUACGUAGGUGGCAAGCGUUGUCCGGAUUUAUUGGGCGUAAAGCGAGCGCAGGCGGAAGAAUAAGUCUGAUGUGAAAGCCCUCGGCUUAACCGAGGAACUGCAUCGGAAACUGUUUUUCUUGAGUGCAGAAGAGGAGAGUGGAACUCCAUGUGUAGCGGUGGAAUGCGUAUAUAUAUGGAAGAACACCAGUGGCGAAGGCGGCUCUCUGGUCUGCAACUGACGCUGAGGCUC